UGAUAAGGCGUUCAGAGACUGCCAGCGGCAGCUGCUGGCUCAGGUGCGGCCUGUGUGGGAGGACUCGUGUCUCGGUGGUUACAGAGAAGCUGGCUUCCACGGUGUGAACCCGACUGAAUCACAGGCCGCUUUUUUGUUCUCCCUCGGCCUUGGAGGGCCUGGGACGUUCCUGUUGCCCAACAUCCUGGUGAGCUGAGAACAUUCUGUAGAUUAAUUAGGUUCUCUCCUCUGGCUCAGCAGGUCUGUUCUAGCCAUUUGACCAAAGGCUCUCUGAUAUUUUCUACCAGCCUUAGAACGACAGUCUGCAGAUGUGUGCACAUAAAUGUCUGGGAGGAGCACACAGAUACUGUGGGAGGAGUGGGUCCGGCGUAGCUAUUGGGAGAUCUCGCUCGUACACAUGGCGCUACAUAGAAAGAAUGCCCUGAGGUGAAGGUGACAGCUCGGCAGUUUCUUAAUACCCUGAACUUGAGCGUGGCCUGCGCUAGAGAAAAUACACGGUGCUUCUUAAAAACAAAAGCCAGCAGCCUGCAAGAGGGCUGUGCCUGCGAGUUCCUGGGAGCAGGAGGGGGCUGUUCCUCCGCCCCUGGCUCCAGUUUCACCCAAGUCACUUCACAGCAGUUGGAAGGAGGUCACCAAUUGUUGAGUGUAGGCGGGGGGCGGGGAGGGAGAGGAAGAGGGAUGAAAAGGGAAGGCCCGGGUCAGCUGGGAGAGGAGCUCGCGGGCUUUCCGGCGGGCUGGCCUGAAGUGGAAGGGCCCAGGGCUGCCUGCCACCCUCAGAUGCCACGCAGGUGUUGGGAGGGCACCCGUCUGUGGGCUCAGGGACGUGUUCCCACCGACAGGCACAGAACGGAAAGCACCUUGGGGGAGACGCCCUUCUCCCCAUCUCAGGAGGGAGGCCGGGCCUGCAGACCUCCAGCCCUUCCCCAGCGCUCGCUGUGAGCUCCCCCCCCCCACCCGCCCCCCACGUGCUGGGGAGCAGGUCCGUUUCCCCACCAGUUUGCCUCUGGUCUUUGUGUUUGCUCUGAGGCCAGGCGCGCCCCCUGCUGCAGGCCUGGGCUCCUGUGUGGAGUUCUCCUUUCAGAUGUUGCUAAAAUGUCUUGAAAGGCUGCGGCCACACCAACAGACGUCGUCCGGCCUUCUUCACACGCAACGAAGCGCCCAGGUGGAAAUGCAUGUACCCGCGGCAGCUUCUCGGCAGCGGGCUUCCUGGGACGGAAGACACAGGCUCGCCCGAGGGAGACGGAAGCAGGGGAUCUGCUAGAACUCAGCUCGCCUCCUCCUUUCUCAGCAGGGCAGAGAAUCAUGGGCUUGUGCUGACGAAAGCUCCAGAAAAUGGACUCAUUUAACCUUUCCAAAGAUAUUAUCCAAGCUGCAAAAUCUUGGCAAUCUGAAGACCUUUUAAGUCGAUAUACCAAAGAGCUUUAGUCAGGAUUGAAUGCAAAAUGCCAAAAUUUCACUUUUAAAAUCAUCGUAACAUCUAAAUACAACCUAAGCACACUUGUAAACUGAUGCCGAACAGGCACUUGGAGAGCCCUCCCUGCACCCCUUCCUCGCCCCCUCCUUUGUGCAAAUGCUGUUUGCCCAGAACUUCAGCCACUGAAAAUCCUGGGAACUUUCUCUUCCUGGCUGCCAACCUAGCAGUUUGGACUCACAGACGAGAUUUUUAAAUCACUGAGGGAUUUAAGCCUCUCUGUGUCACAGAAAAGCGAACACCCUCCCAGUUGAAGGUGGCCCCAAAGAUGCGGGCCUGGGACCCAGGACUUCUGCAGGAGAGUGGACGCCUGGGUGCCCCCCGCCUUGCCCUGCACAUGGUAGGUGCUCAAUAAUUACACAAUAAAUAUUCACACAAAGCAGUGAUUCUGCCGAAGAGAUCCACUGCAAUGCACCUGGCUUCCUAGAAGCAAUAAAUGAAAAGCUUUUCUAUUUUUUUAAGAAAAGAAAAGAUUAAUGAAGCCCUGACGUAGAGGCAGAGAGCUCAACAGAAUCCAGUGACUCAAGGCGUGCGCAGAAGCAAUUUGCUUCUGAAACUCUAAACACCGUUCUUUAGUACUUCCUGACACUCCUCAGCAGCAAGCAAAUAAAUAUUUACAUGUGGAAGGAGACUGUCCUUUGAAAUAAUAACAGAGUACACCAGUCAUCAUAAGAAGAAAAAUUCACAUUUAAAGUUUGGAAAGCAACAGGACAAAGGUCUGUCUUCAGUGGUGCGUAGACAUGCUCGUGAUUGAAUUGGAAAUAGUUCUCUUUCCUUCUCUCUGACUUCCUAACUGAAAAGCUGCAGCGUGGGGAGAAAGGCUGCUCAGAAGCCUGGAGCCAGAACACGCACCCCGGCUUUUGCAGGGCCGGCUCACUUGGUUAGAAUCAAAGGAAAAGCCUUGUUAUUUGGGAAGCUGGGCGUCCUCACCAAAUUAGGGGAUUUAAUUUGCAGAUAUCUAAGGAGUGCUUUGAAAUGAAAGAUGAACUAAAAUCUGCUCUGAGGCCCGUGAUUUUUCACCAGUGAAGGACUCUCUUGCUGCUGGACAUACAUGAAAAGCAUCAUCUGAUCUGAAACGCAAGUCCCUGCAAGACAGAGGAGAGACUUUAUAAACAUUUUAUACCAUUCUAUGAAAUCAAUUCGAUUCAGGGCUAGAAUUCAAGAAGUAAUCCAUGGGCAAGUAUAUCUGAUGGUAAACCCAAACGAUUAUAUUGUUAACCUCUUGUACUUUUUUUAAUUUUUUAUUAUUUGAUAUUAUUAUCACAAAAGUCGCUGGAACAGGAUCCAUGAGCUGCUUCUUCACUGCUUAGUGUUUUCAGAAGCUGAUGGAUUAUUAAGCUCCAAUUGAAUACUUGAUUUCCAAUGAUUCCAUUAAUUUUUCUGGUUUGUGGUAGGAUUUGAUUUACUUAUUUUGUACUUUAACACACCAAUAAAAAAUAGAUACUAAGAAAUAGUGAAAUUUGUUGCUUCAAAAUAACCCUUAAAAUUUAGAGUUUAGUGAAAUUAAGCAAUUCAAAUAGAGAAACGAUUAUCCUUCAUUUCCUUAAGGCACAGAAAUUGAGACUAGGUUCAAGAACCUUCAUAUUUUAAAAACUGGAAAAUACUGGCUAAGUGAGGACUGGGCGGUCAUCCUCCACACAUGCUCUGUGUGCUUGGAGCGAAGAGGGGAACGCACUGAAUGAGAUGAACUGGAAGGAGGUGCAGCAGCGAAGGAAAUCCUUCUGUUGGGAGAGUUCACGUGUUUAGGAUAAUCCUUCGAAUAGGACGCAACAGUGAUGUGAGGAGAAGCUUUGGAGCUGAUUUAGAUUGAGACAGUCUAUCACAGGCUGUUUGGUUGCAUCCCUUUGGGGCCAGUCUCAUUUUAGGUCUAAAUAUGCAGGAAUGGGGCUCUGGCUUCCAGAAGUUUCAGGCUGCAAAAGGCUGGGGCCACCAUCUUUACAGAUAAUCCAUUAGUUUGAUUCUCUUGGGGGCCAGGAAGAAAACCAAGAACACUCAAUGGACUAUGGGACUCAAAUAAUCCACAGGAGGCGUUUGUAAAGGGGCAAAACUGUGUGUGCCCAGUAAUUCUUGGAGCUCGCAAUAGAGGUGGAGAAGCAGUGAUGGGCCCCACAGCAGCAGGGGCUUGGGAAUGACGGAAAAGAACAAAAUGAUGGAAGGACAGCUGGAAGAAACAGGGAAGCUUCCUUUUAACUGGAUGCUGGGUCUCAGCCUUGAAUAGUUCCUGGCCUUCGGAGGCCUUUUCUCAGGGAGCAUGGCCUGGGGACUCCCUGCUUGCUCUGCUGAGCUUUCAGGGAAGGAGAAAUGGGCAAGGCCAGAGGCGACCAUCAGGUGCUCCGUAGGCACAGAGGCAGAACUCAAGGUUUAGCUUUACCUUAAGAGGGUGACUGCAAAGUGUGCUCCCUGGACCAGGGGCCUCGGCCUCACCUGGGAGCUUGCUAAAAAUGCAAGUUGCUCUCACCCAGACUGAAUCUAAAAUUCUGGGUACAGCCCAGCAAUCUCUGCUCACACUUUCUCCAGAUGAUUCUGGUGCAAGCUAACCUUUCAAAAGUCCUGGGUCCCAUUCCCAGAGGCUGUGAUUAAGUUGGUCUAGGGCUGUGGCCUAGACCUGGGGAUUUUGGAAGCCCACAGGUGAUUCUGUUGUGCAGCCAUGGUUGGCAGGCUGUUCACGGUGCUGUUCAACAGGUCCUGCUGUGGGAUGGAAAGGGUCUGUAUCUGCACUGGCCAAUGUGGGAGCCAGCCCUGUGGCUAUUGAGCACUUGGCCCCUGGCUAGUGCAACUGAGGAGCUGAAUUUUUCAUUUCAUUUACUUUUAAUUAAGUUUAAAUAGCUAAAUGUGGCUAUUGUCUGCCUUAUUGGAUAGCAGAGUUCUAGAACCACAGAUAAAUGUAAUACUGUCCCUUUAGUUGAUUUAAAAAUCCAAUGCCUCUGUAAUCCUAGCACUUUGGGAGGCCAAGGUGGGCUGAUCACGAGGUCAAGAGAUCGAGACCAUUCUUGCCAACAUGGUGAAACCCCGUCUCUACUAAAAAUACAAAAAUUAGCCGGGCAUGGUGGCAGGCACCUGUAAUCCCAGCUACUCGGGAGGCUGAGGCAGGAGAAUCACUUGAACCCACGAGGCGGAGCUUGCAGUGAGCCAAGAUUGCACCACUGCACUCCAGCCUGGUGACAGACGGAGAUUCUGUCUCAAAAAAAAAUGCCUCACAGAGUUAAAUAUUUAAGUUGAUAAGAAAAAUGGUAGUCGAGUCUUUGAGGAUUAUUUUAAAAUCCACUUUUGGUGAUAAAUAGAUAAAAACAGUGUGGUAGGGCCCAGAAGUUCUUCCUGAUUUCUACCUGUUGGAGCUGAAUUCCUCAAUUUUACUUGUAGGAGAACGGCUUCCUAAAGGGCACCUUACCCAGCCAUUCCUGCAUGCAAGUGUGUAUGAGAACUGCAGGGGGCAUUAUAUGAAAAUCCAAUUCCUGGGCUCUAUCCCAGAUGUUCCUAUCCAAUAGGUCUGGGUUGGGGCCCUGGAAACUGCAUUUUUGGCAAACCCCUUACUGAUUUGGAUGCACAAGUUUCAAGGAACAGGCACUAAGGAUCGCUGAUGUAGAAUCUGUUUGUCCAUCCAGGAAAGCCAGAGUCACCACACUUGAGUAAAUGGGUUUUGAUGUAGGAAAGGUCUUUAUAAUUCUUUCAUGAAUUCACCAAACUUUAAAAACUGUACUAUUUUUGGCUGGGCUUGGUGGCUCACGCCUGUAAUCUCAGCACUUUGGGGGCCAAGGCGGGUGGAUCAUGAGGUCAGGAGAUCGAGACCAUCCUGGCUAACACGGUGAAAACCUGUCUCUACGAAAAAUACAAAAAAAAAAAAUUAGCCGGGCGUGGUGGCGGGUGCCUGUAGUCCCAGCUACUCAGGAGGCUGAGGCAGGAGAAUGGCGUGAACCC
rnacentral:lncRNA from 1 species